CUUCCGUGAUGAUUGGUUUCGUCCAGUUCUGCUACUGAAGCGCAAUGUGGAUAAUUGUACCAUCUUACCAAAAUCUUUUCUGAUCC
rfam:Mycosphaerella eumusae strain CBS 114824 scaffold178, whole genome shotgun sequence.